rnacentral:SRP_RNA from 1 species
GCUGGGCAUGGUGGUGCAUGCCUGUAAUCCCAACUACUUGGGAGGCUGAGGCAAGAGAAUCACUUGAACCCGGGAGGCAGAGUUUGCAGUGAGCCAAGAUGGUGCCACUGUACUCCAGCCUGGGCAACAGAGUGAGACUCUGUCUCAA